AGCAGCCGCGGUAAUUCCAGCUCCAAUAGCGUAUAUUAAAGUUGUUGCAGUUAAAAAGCUCGUAGUUGAAUUUCGGGGUUAGUAGGCUGGUCGUGCCACUGGUACGUACUGGUCUCACUGAUUCCUCCUUCCUGAUGAACCGUAAUGCCAUUAAUUUGGUGUUGCGGGGAGACUGGACUGUUACUUUGAAAAAAUUAGAGUGUUUAAAGCAAGCUAACGCUUGAAUACAUUAGCAUGGAAUAAUGAAAUAGGACGUUCGAUCCUAUUUUGUUGGUUUCUAGGAUUGACGUAAUGAUUAAUAGGGAUAGUUGGGGGCAUUAGUAUUCAAUUGUCAGAGGUGAAAUUCUUGGAUUUAUUGAAGACUAACUACUGCGAAAGCAUUCGCCAAGGAUGUUUUCAUUAAUCAAGAACGAAAUUAGGGGAUCGAAGACGAUCAGAUACCGUCGUAGUCUUAACCAUGAACUAUGCCGACUAGGAAUCGGAUGAUGUUAAUUUUUUAAUGACUCAUUUCGGCNCCUUA
rnacentral:rRNA from 1 species